rnacentral:rRNA from 1 species
AUACGAAGGGGGCUAGCGUUGUUCGGAUUUACUGGGCGUAAAGCGCACGUAGGCGGAUUGAUCAGUUAGGGGUGAAAUCCCGAGGCUCAACCUCGGAACUGCCUUUAAUACUGUCAGUCUAGAGACCGGAAGAGGUGAGUGGAACUCCUAGUGUAGAGGUGGAAUUCGUAGAUAUUAGGAAGAACACCAGUGGCGAAGGCGGCUCACUGGUCCGGUACUGACGCUGAGGUGCGAAAGCGUGGGGAGCGAACAGGAUUAGAUACCCCAGUAGUCC